GACAGAGGUGCCAAGCGUUAGGCGGAAUCACUGGGCUUAAAGCGUGUGUAGGCGGAUCGGUAAGUACCUUGUGAAAUCCCACAGCUUAACUGUGGAACUGCUUGGUAUACUGCCAGUCUUGAGCCAGCUAGGGGCUACCGGAACAAAUGGUGGAGCGGUGAAAUGCGUAGAUAUCAUUUGGAACGCCAAUGGUGAAAACAGGUAGCUGGGGCUGUGCUGACGCUGAGACACGAAAGCCAGGGGAGCAAACGGG
rnacentral:rRNA from 1 species